rnacentral:rRNA from 1 species
AUUGAACGCUGGCGGCAGGCCUAACACAUGCAAGUCGAGCGGAUGAAGGGAGCUUGCUCCCGGAUUCAGCGGCGGACGGGUGAGUAAUGCCUAGGAAUCUGCCUGGUAGUGGGGGAUAACGUCCGGAAACGGGCGCUAAUACCGCAUACGUCCUGAGGGAGAAAGUGGGGGAUCUUCGGACCUCACGCUAUCAGAUGAGCCUAGGUCGGAUUAGCUAGUUGGUGGGGUAAAGGCCUACCAAGGCGACGAUCCGUAACUGGUCUGAGAGGAUGAUCAGUCACACUGGAACUGAGACACGGUCCAGACUCCUACGGGAGGCAGCAGUGGGGAAUAUUGGACAAUGGGCGAAAGCCUGAUCCAGCCAUGCCGCGUGUGUGAAGAAGGUCUUCGGAUUGUAAAGCACUUUAAGUUGGGAGGAAGGGCAGUAAGUUAAUACCUUGCUGUCUUGACGUUACCAACAGAAUAAGCACCGGCUAACUUCGUG